UACGAAGGGGGCUAGCGUUGCUCGGAAUCACUGGGCGUAAAGGGUGCGUAGGCGGGUUUUUAAGUCAGGGGUGAAAUCCUGGAGCUCAACUCCAGAACUGCCUUUGAUACUGAGAAUCUUGAGUAUGGGAGAGGUGAGUGGAACUGCGAGUGUAGAGGUGAAAUUCGUAGAUAUUCACAAGAACACCAGUGGCGAAGGCGGCUCACUGGCCCAUUACUGACGCUGAGGCACGAAAGCGUGGGGAGCAAACAGG
rnacentral:rRNA from 1 species